AAGACAAUCACUCACAGAGUCGGCGUGUUCGCGCGCCGGAGGAGCGCCCGGCCGCAGCCGUCCCUUCGACGGCCGGCUGCGUCGGGUCAGUGUCAGAUGGAGUUCUGUGAUGUCGGCGCCGGUGAAACUCGGCGAGCAGGCUCGAUCGGUAACCGGGGGUUCGUCGGUCGUGCGACGUGCCAUCGGGGUGUAGACGUAUGCGCCCGUGGUGCGGUCCAGCGUCCGACCCCCCGGAACGGUCGAGGAGCCUCUGCCGGGCAGAGCCGGUCGACCCAAUCGCGGGGUCUCUCGUCCUCCCGUCUGCGUUCUCGCAGGCGCAUGGUAGGCCACCCUUUCCCGCCGGCGACCCGAUUCUUCGGGGAGCGCCGGGGAAGGAGAGACCCCCGGGUCGCCGCUAUGACUCCGAUCACGUUCCACGUGUCUUUCACGAUUCC
rnacentral:misc_RNA from 1 species